rnacentral:piRNA from 1 species
GACAGGAUCUUACUUUCUAACCCAGC